rnacentral:rRNA from 1 species
AACGAACGCUGGCGGCAGGCUUAACACAUGCAAGUCGAACGCCCCGCAAGGGGGGUGGCAGACGGGUGAGUAACGCGUGGGAAUCUACCCAGAUCUUCGGAACAACUGAGGGAAACUUCAGCUAAUACCGGAUACGCCCUACGGGGGAAAGAUUUAUCGGUUCUGGAUGAGCCGCGUUGGAUUAGCUAGUUGGUGGGGUAAUGGCCUACCAAGGCGACGAUCCAUAGCUGGUCUGAGAGGAUGAUCAGCCACACUGGGACUGAGACACGGCCCAGACUCCUACGGGAGGCAGCAGUGGGGAAUAUUGGACAAUGGGCGAAAGCCUGAUCCAGCCAUGCCGCGUGAGUGAUGAAGGCCUUAGGGUUGUAAAGCUCUUUCAGUGGGGAAGAUAAUGACGGUACCCACAGAAGAAGCCCCGGCUAACUUCGUGCCAGCCGCCGCGGUAAAAC